rnacentral:lncRNA from 1 species
AAGAGCUUUUUUUUUUUUUUUUUAAGGGCCACACCUGUGGCAUAUGGAGGUUCCCAGGCUAAGGGUUGAAUCAGAGCUGUCGCCACCAGCCUAGGCCACAGCCACAGCAACUGGAGAUCUGAGCCACGUCUGGCAACCCAUGGCAUAUGAAAAUUCCCAGGAUAGGGGCUGAAAUGGAAUUACAGCUACUGGCAGACACCACAGCCACAGCAACACAGGAUCUGAGCCACAUUUGCCACCGACACCACAGCUCAUGGCUACACUGGAUCCUUAACCCACUGAGUGAGGCCAGGGAUUGAACCCGCAUCCUCAUGGAUCCUAGUAGGGUUUGUUAACCACUGAGCCAUGAAGGGAACUCCAACAGAGCUUCUUAUUUGCUCUGUAUCUGCUUCCUAAUUGGCUACAUUACCUUGAACAAAUUAUUUAACCCGAUUCACACCUUGGUGUACCACCAACAUCAUAGAUUUUGCCUGGAUUAACAAUUAUAAAUGAUCAGUAUCUUUUCAACCUUCACUUCUCAACUUUAAUGUUCCUUCCUCAAAGGAAUCCUUUCCUGACCACUCUCUAAAGUAAGUCUCCUUCAAAAACGGAACCCUCCUACACUCUUAGUGGGAAUGUAAAUUGGCACAGCCACUAUGGAAAACAGUAUGGAGUUUCCUUAAAAAACCAGAGUUACCAUAUGAUCCAGCAAUCCCACUCCUGGGCAUAUAUCCAGAAAAAACCCAUAAUUUGAAAAGAUACAUGCACCCCCCAAUGUUCACUGAAGCAUUACUUACAAUAGCCAAGACAUGGAAGCAAACUAAACGUCCAUCAACAGAAGAAUGAAUAAACAUAGGUACACAUAUACUAUGGAAUUUUACUCAGCCAUAAAAAAAGAAUGAAAUAAUGCCAUUUGCAGCAAGAUGGAUGGACCCAGAUAUUGGGUUAAAUGAAGAAAGUCAGACAGAGAAAGACAAAUACCACAUGAUUUCACUUAUAUGUGGAAUCUAAAAAAAAAUGACACAAAUGAAUGUGUUUACAAAACAGAAACAGACUCACAGACUUCAAAAACUUAUGAUUACCACAGGGAAAAGGUAGGGGGAGGAAUAAAUUAAGAGUUUGGGAAUUAACAUAUACAUACUACUAUAUAUAAAAUAGAUAAGCAACCACAACCUGCUGUAUAGCACAGGGAAUUUACUCAUAUUCUGUAAUGACCUAUGUGAGAAAAGAAUCUGAAAAAGAAUGGAUACGAGUUCCCAUGGUGGCGCAGUGGUUAACGAAUCUGACUAGAAACCAUGAGGUUGCGGGUUCGAUCCCUGGCCUUGCUCAGAAGGUUGGGGAUCCGGCAUUGCCGUGAGCUGUAGGUUGCAGACGCAGCUUGGAUCCUACGUUGCUGUGUCUCUGGCAUAGGCCGGUGGCUACAUCUGAUUAGACCCCUAGCCUGGGAACAUCCAUAUGCUGAGGGAGCGGCCCAAGAAAUGGCAAAAAAAGAAAAAGAAUGGAUAUAUAUGUAGGAUUCAAUCACCUGGCUGUACACCUGAAAUCAACAACACUGUAAAUCAACUAUACUCCAAUACAUGAGUUUCCAUUGUGGCUCAGGGGUUACAAACCAGGCAGUAUCCACGAGGAUGAGGGUUUGAGCCCUGGCCUCACUCACUGGGUUAAGGAUCUGUUGUUGCUGUGAGCUGUAGUGUAGAUUGCAGACAAAUAUGGCAUUGCUAUUGCUGUGGCUGUGGUGUAGGCUGGCAGCUGCAGCUGCAGCUCCAAUUUGAUCCCUAGCCUGGGAACUUCCACAUGCCAUGGGUGCAGCCUUUCUAAAAAAGAAAAAACAAAACAAAACAAAACUAUACUCCAAUAUAAAAUUAAAAAUUAAAUUAAAAAAAAUAAAAGUCUCCCUCUGAUUCUCUCUCAGCACUGUUGAUCCACUUUCACAAUUUGUAAUGUAUAUUUACUUCCUGGUUUUGCUGGACGUCUCCCACACUGGGUGGGAGGCUCCACCAGGGGAUGGACCGUUGUUUUCAGCAGUACACCCUGCCUGGCACAAAACAGGUGCUUGCUGGUUGUUACCAAGCCCUUCCCCUUGACCAAUGUGUAUUCGUUCGACAUACUGAAGGGUGUGCCAGGGCUGUUUCCUAGAGAUUAACUGCAAGAGAUGGCCUUCAAUAGUCGUAAUUCACUUUCUUUCAAAAAACCACUCUGAGGUCCCCUUGGCUCCAGCGCACACCUGCCAGAAAUCUCCCCAAGGACUUUUGAUCAAUUACAAAAACCUUUAGUUAUGAUUUUCAGAGUUUUUUCAAUAAUAAACUUGAUACUAAGGAUUAGGAAAGAAAUGUACGUAUUUCUUAAAUGCAAGAUUGACUAUCAAAAUAGCACUUUAAAAAAACCCCAGAAAACAAAAAGGAGUUCCCGUCGUGGUUCAGUGGUUAAUGAAUCCGACUAGGAACCAUGAGGUUGCAGGUUCGAUCCCUAGCCUUGCUCAGUGGGUUAAGGAUCUGGCGUUGUGGUGAACUGUGGUGUAGGUCACAGACUCGACUCAGGUCUCAUGCUGCUGUGGCUGUGGCAUAGGCCAAUUGGAUCCCUAGCCUGAGAACCUCCAUAUGCCAUGGGUGUGGCCCUAAAAUGCAAAAAAACACCAAAAAACAAAACCAUAAAACAAAAGAGCACUUUUCACUCAUAUAAGGGUCCAAGAUAUUAAAAGAUUUUUUGUUGCUUACUCCACAUUUAUUGCUUUCCUUUUGGGUGUAUCAAUAAUGGAACUGCUAACAGAGAUGAGGCAAUGGCACAGUCCAGGACAUACACCCAUUCCACAUGCAAAUUCUAAUGUGAACAAGAGGUGACAUAUGUAUUGGGCAAAGGGAAACAAAACUUGACAUAUGGGAAGUCAUUUCAAAUCACAACAGCUAAUACUGGGAUGAUAUCACCCCCUGAAAAUAGAGCCUGCCCAUCUAGGAGGAGCCAGGUCAGGUGUUAUUACAGUCAAAUGGAUCUUAGAAAAAAAUAUUACAUGAGGAAACCAGAAAGAUAAAGUCUUCUGAUGUGCUUACAACAACAACAAAUAACUGUCGACUGCAUCAAGACAUGUGGCAAGUUCCAAACUAUAAGUUUAGUUGGAAAAAGUAAAAACCAGAUAUAUAUGUGUAUAUGCGUACGCAUGUGUGUAUAUAAUCCACCUAUAUAUCCAUAUCUAUAUACAUGUUAUAUGGAUUAAAACAAAAAUAUAUAAAAUACUUGAUUCCCUUAGUUUUCUAUUAAAUGUGGUCUUUAAUGAAGGUGACCAUGUACUUUAACAUCCUAACCAGGCCAGAUGUGAGUGAAAGAGAGACUUACUAAUAAUCACGCCAGGACGAGAUGUAUACUGGGACUGUCCUGGGCAAGUCAAGACACACAAUCACCUGAUUUAUAAUAAAGUCCAUGGAAAACUGCAAGAUUUCAUGAACUACAAGUCAGAUGAACAAUAUUAAAAUGUGUCUCCUGGAGUUCCCGUCGUGGCUCAGUGGAAACAAAUCUGACUAGGAAUGAAGCAUAAGGCUGCCGAUUCUAUCCCUGGCCUCACUCAGUGGGUUAAGGAUCUGGUGUUGCUGUGAGCUGUGGCGUAGGUGGCAGCCGCAGCUCAGAUCUUGCGUUGCUCUGGCUGUGGCGUAGGCUGGCAGUUGCAGCUCUGAUUCAACCCCUAGCCUGGGAACCUCCAUAUGCCACGGGCACAGCCCUAAAAAACUAAAGUCUGCAAAAUAUUUUGUCCAUAUGAAGCAACAUCUUAUUAAAUAAAAGAUAUAAAUUAAAGAAUGAAUAGUAAAGUGUUAAUAUAAGGCGUUAAUCUCUACAAGGGCCAGAAGCUUAAAUUAAUAUUUUCUUUAGUUAAGAAAUCCAAUCCUCUCUAAGAACAUAAGCCAACCCAUAUAGACAUCUCUGCACCACAGUCUCUAGUACCGCUUAGUUAUUUCUGUUACUAGGAGACAUCUGCACAAUAACAAAAUUUAUAUCCUUCUCUUGCUUCUAUUCUUCCACCUAAAGGAAUAAUCCUCCAUUAUUAGCAAUACACUUAAUAUCUCCACAGCAACUAGUAUAAUUGGGGUGUUGCAACAGGAGGAUAAUGAAGUGGAAAACAAAGUGAGAGAAGUAGUGUAGAGAAAAAAAAAAAAAAAAAAAAAAAACAACUUCCACACAGCCUUGGUGGGAAAAUAACUACCAAGAUGAAAAAAGAAAACUUGCUAAAGAGAACCCUUUUGAGGUUGUUUGAGUCACUACUAAGUCUUUAUGGUAACUCAAUUAUUUAGUGAGGCAAAUAAAAUUUCCAAAACGAUCACCUGUAUGGUAGAACACGUGCAGACGGCAUCGCCCAAGGAACCCUGAGGUGGGAAAGAGAUGAGGUUUCUGAAAUAGGUAAGUGGACUUUCUGGAGUUCCUGUCAUGGCGCAGUGGAAACGAAUCUGACUAGGAACCAUGAGGUUGCAUGUUCAACCCCUGGCCUCGCACAAUGGGUUAAGGAUCUGGCGUUGCCGUGAGCUGUGGUGUAGGUCGCAGAUGUGGCUCAGAUCUUGUGUUGCUAUGGCUGUGGCAUAGGCUGGCAGCUGUAGCUCCAAUUAGAGCCCUAGCCUGGGAACCUCCAUGUGCCAC